rnacentral:rRNA from 1 species
AGCAGCCGCGGUAAUUCCAGCUCCAAUAGCGUAUAUUAAAGUUGUUGCAGUUAAAAAGCUCGUAGUUGAAUUUCGGGGUCAGUAGGUUGGUCAUGCCUUCGGUAUGUACUGGUCUCACUGAUUCCUCCUUCUUGAAGAUCCGUAAUGUCAUUAAUUUGGUGUUGCGGGGAAUCAGGACUGUUACUUUGAAAAAUUAGAGUGUUUAAAGCAGGCUAACGCUUGAAUACAUUAGCAUGGAAUAAUGAAAUAGGACGUUUGAUCCUAUUUUGUUGGUUUCUAGGAUUGACGUAAUGAUUAAUAGGGAUAGUUGGGGGCAUUAGUAUUCAAUUGUCAGAGGUGAAAUUCUUGGAUUUAUUGAAGACUAACUACUGCGAAAGCAUUUGCCAAGGAUGUUUUCAUUAAUCAAGAACGAAAGUUAGGGGAUCGAAGACGAUCAGAUACCGUCGUAGUCUUAACCAUAAACUAUGCCGACUAGGGAUCGGAUGAUGUUAAUUUUUUAAUGUACUCAUUCGGCGCCUUA